GCCCGAUGAACCUGAAUAUCCGUUAUGGAAAAUUCAUCAUUAAAGUUAUAAUAUUUAAACAAUAUUAUACAAAUAAUGUGCAUUUUUUCCAUAUAAGGACAUUGUAAUCUAUUAACAUAUUUAAAUUUAUCAUAAAAUAUGGCUUAUAGUUUAUUCAAAUUAUUAUGCUUGCAUUUUAACAUAGAAUAAAUGUCAUUAAUUUGAUAAAGUGUUGAUAGACUAAUAAGAAUACAGUGCGUUAAUUUUUCGGAAUUAUAUAAUGGCAUAAUUAUCAUUGAUUUUUGUGUUUAUUAUAAGCACUUGUAUGAUUAACAAUGCGAAAGAUUCAGGAUACUUCGGG
rnacentral:rRNA from 2 species